rnacentral:sRNA from 1 species
GUUACCGUUGCCUAGAGAUGAAGCCCGCUAUUUAAACACAGAACAGGUACAGCUUCAGCAGUAGCAGUGCAAACUGCCUCAGCCUUGCUUCAACCUUGACCUUGAAGGACUUCCUCUAAAUGACAGAGUGUGAAAUCCUGGCUCCCUUAAAGUAAAAGGCAAAA